CUUGUUGACAUCACUGGUUUUCUUGAUGGGAGAUAUGUUCCAGGCUGGAAUCACCUGACAUGAAACACAGAACAUAAGUGACACACCUGUCUGACAAGUGUUAGUCACGUGUUAGUCAGUUGUUAGUCAGGUGUUAGUCAGGUGUUGGACAGUUGUUAGUCAGGUGUUAGUCAGGUGUUAGUCGGGUGUUGGACAGUUGUUAGUCAGGUGUUAGUCAGGUGUUGGACAGUUGUUAGUCAGGUGUUAGUCAGGUGUUGGACAGUUGUUAGUCAGGUGUUAGUCAGGUGUUGGACAGUUGUUAGUCAGGUGUUAGUCAGGUGUUGGACAGGUGUAACGUGUCUCACCACUCCUUUCUCCACCACUUCUUUAAAUUUGGAUCGAGUCAUUUUCGGUUC